rnacentral:rRNA from 1 species
UACAUGGGGUGCAAACGUUUGCUCGGAAUUAUUGGGCGUAAAGCGCGCGUAGGCGGUUAUCUAAGUCGGGAUGUGAAAGCCCUCGGCUUAACUGAGGAAGUGCACCCGAAACUGGAUAGCUAGAGUACGAAAGAGGGUCGCGGAAUUCCCGGUGUAGAGGUGAAAUUCGUAGAUAUUGGGAAGAACACCGGUGGCGAAGGCGGUGGUCUGGGCCGUGACUGACGCUGAGGAGCGAAAGCCAGGGGAGCAAACGGG